GACGAACGCUGGCGGCGUGCUUCAUACAUGCAAGUCGAACGCCCUGGCAACAGGGAGUGGCAGACGGGUGAGUAACGCGUGGGAACGUGCCCUUCGGUUCGGAAUAACUCAGGGAAACUUGAGCUAAUACCGAAUACGUGCGAGAGCAGAAAGAUUUAUCGCCGAAGGAUCGGCCCGCGUCCGAUUAGCUAGUUGGUGAGGUAAUGGCUCACCAAGGCGACGAUCGGUAGCUGGUCUGAGAGGAUGAUCAGCCACACUGGGACUGAGACACGGCCCAGACUCCUACGGGAGGCAGCAGUGGGGAAUAUUGGACAAUGGGCGCAAGCCUGAUCCAGCCAUGCCGCGUGAGUGAUGAAGGCCCUAGGGUUGUAAAGCUCUUUCGCCAGGGACGAUAAUGACGGUACCUGGAUAAGAAGCCCCGGCUAACUUCGUGCCAGCAGCCGCAGUAA
rnacentral:rRNA from 1 species